rnacentral:lncRNA from 1 species
UUCACAUAACUUGAAACAGAGAGAGUAUAUAAUAUAUGCAGCGGAGCUGGAGCGCAUCUUGACUUGUGGUCUGGAGCGCAUCUUGACUUGUGGUCUGCAAUGUUAGAAUCGCAGAGCAGCUAACUCUUCUUUUCCUUGUCUCUGUUGAGAAUUAAACUCACAAAGCGUAACCAUGAAUAUUUUUGUUUUUGUUUUUUGGGUUCUCUUUUUAUUUUCUAUAGUGUGGAAAACUAUUUCAGAUAUUUCAAGUGACUACCUUUGAUGGGUUUUCUGCUUUCAAAUGACAAAAUUGCAAGUCAUAUAUAUCAUAGCUGCUGCAGCAAGUGUUGCAUCAAGUGUUGCAUCAAGCUAUUAAUUUAGAGGUUGAAGCAGGUGGAUGUCCAUUAAAAGAUUUUUUAAACAAAAAAUUAUAGGAGAAAAGAAAAGGAAAAUCUCUAAUCGACAUAUACCUGACUCACACUGUAAGCUGACAGCUUGGUACAACACUUGCAACUUGUAUCAUGUCUGUACGAAAUUAUAAUAUUUACUUCUGUGUCUGUAUCUAGAAUUUAUAAUAUGUGGGUUCUGAGUUGAAAGAGUGAAUCUGAAAAUGCAUAACUAACUCUAUAUUUACUUUUCUUGUACAGUUAUAAAGUUCGACGUUGAAGCACUGAUUCUUCUGAACCCACGAGCCCAUUGCUAGAUCAGUCACUGGUGUUUGUCUGUAUGUAUUUACAUAUUUUCUUUUGAUAUUUUGGAUAAGCAGUUAGCUGAGAUUUGCCACUUUGAUUUUGUUCCUUUUUAUCCUUGUAGUAGAUGAUACUCAAAGGAUCAUUAUGCAGUUUGGAUAAAAGGAGUAAUAGAUUAUAGAGAUACUGUUAAACCUAGGCUCAAUGGUUGUAGGCUUGUAGCAAUUAAAAGUUUUGUCUAAUAGGAAAUGCAGAGACUAUUAAUCAGAUUGGAUUGAGGAAAUAUUUACUUGGAUUUUGUAAGAUUGAUAUUUUGGUAGGAAGGAGUCACUUUUUGAGUGAGAUGGAAUGUCAAGUUAAUUGGAGAAGUAAGUUCCUAGACAAUAGGCUUCCCUAUAGUUGAAAUCAGUUGGAAAAGGCUAAUAAAGCUGAAGAUGGUUAAGUUGGUUUUAUUCUGAAGAGAAACAGAACUAAAAGAGUAAUGUAUAUUGCUAAUUGUGAAGCAAUCAGAUUUCUCUUUAUUGAAGAGAAAUCAGCAUACUUUUGGGAAUGCUAUUGGGUAGCUAUUGAAAAACAAUGAACAUGGUACUUCUGCAAGAACCAUUUUUCUUUGCAAGCUAUAAGAAUAUAAUUCGUAAAGUUGCCCACUAACUCGGGCGAUAGUAGGACCGGACAUGCUUAUGACCAUAUAUUCCUUCAAGGGAACUUUACUGUUGUCAGCUUCUAUGUCUAACUUUUUAUCAAGUUAGAUAAAUUCUAUCCAUGAGGAAUACUUUUGUCCAUUGCUAUUCAAGUUUAACUUCAUUUUGGUGUCGAAUAUCUCUUACUUUUACUUAUAAUAGCUCUAUAUAUCAUGGCAUAAGACUUACGCCCGUAAGCGGGAUUUCCUUUUGAAUUAUGUAUAAUCUUGUAAUCUUUCACCAAUUGCCAUAGAGAGUGCUCUAUUUUUGUAAAGAAACUAACUGCAUGAUACCAGUCUCACCUUUCUGUGGUUUUCUCUACUGUUGUUUUCAGCUUCCGAAAAGCAUCGGAUCGUUUGCUAAUUCCUACCAGGUUAAAGCCACAAUGGUAGGGUCUAGUCUAAAGAAAGACAUAAUAGGGUUAAUAACUGACAGGAAUCACUUGCCAUUUUGUUCCUUCUUUUUUAUGACCAGAUGGUUGAGUGAUUAUCUUCACAUCAUGCUGUGUGCUUAUUCUUGCAAUUGUGGAUUGGGGUUUCCAAAAUGUUGUAUUAUAGUGUAGCAGGAUCAGUUCUUUAGUCAUGCUUGUCGGUUAGUCUGUGGUUUAAUAUAGCAAAUGAUUGUGCAAUAUGUGUUUUUUGGAUGCUUUAUACCCUAUUUGGAGAUAGAUCCUAGUGUCUAAAAGCUUUAAGUUGAGCAAGACCAAGAUAGAAUACUUAGAGUGCAACGUGACUCAGGAAGCGGAUGUAGAUGUGAGGCUUGAUACUCAAGUCAUCCCCAAGAGAGGAAGUUUCAAGUACCUUAGGUCAGUAAUCCAAGGAAAUGGAGAGAUUGACGAGGAUGUCACACAUCGUAUCGGAGCGGGUAGAUGAAAUGGAGGCUCACAACUGGUGUUCUAUGUGGUAAAAAUGUGCCACCAAAACUUAAAAGGUAAAUUCUACAGUGCGGUGGUUAAACCGACUAUGUUGUAUGGGGCGAAAUGCUGGCCAGUCAAGAAACAAAAAUGAGAAUGUUGAGAUAGAUGUGCGGGCAUAACAGGAUAAAUAAGACUAGGAAUUAAAAUAUUGGGGACAAGGUAAGCGUGGCCCCCAUGAAAGACAAGAUGCGGGAAGCGAAUCUUAGAUGGUUCGGGCAUAUGAAGAGAAGAGGCAUAUAUGCCCUAGUGAAGAGGUGUGAGAGGUUGGCCUUGGUGGGUCUGAGGAGAGGUAGAGGUAGGCCAAAGAGGUAUUGUGCAGAGAUGAUUAGGUAGGACAUGACACUGCUUCAGCUUACCGAGGACAUUGACCCUUGAUAGGAGGGUGUGGAGAUCGGGAAUUAGGAUAGAAGUUUAGUAAGUAGUCGUGCGUUUUCCUUGUCCAUACCAGUAGUACUAGUGUUAGCCUUGUACUUUUUUUGUUUUUUUGAUUUCUAUUACUAUCUGUUGUUUCUUUCGCUUCGAUUCCUUGCUAUCUUGCUAUCUUGCUAGUGUUGUUGUUGUUGUUGAUAAAAGGGAACUGCCAAUAAUAAAUGAAUUAGAAUGUACAAGCAGAUUCAAGUGUUAUAGAAUAUACAAGCAGAUAGCUAGGAAUUGACAAUGCAAACUUGUCUAUAACCUAGCACUUGAUCCAAAUCUGGAAUAACUAUAGUUUUGGUUUUUCCUACAGCUAAACAAAGGCUUUCCUGGAACAGGUAAGCAUUUUAUGAGCCAACUAACUGGCCAUGACAGAGCAGCUAUCCCAAUGCACACUUUCCACUGCUGCCAAUUCAACCUCUCUGUACAUGCAAACUUCUUCAGCAUUUCUACCAUUGCAACCUGGAUAAGGACUAUCAUUCCCACU